rnacentral:ncRNA from 1 species
GGCUUUUUAAGUUCGCCAUCAAAAUCCAAGGGCUCAACCCCGGAUAGGCAUUGAAAACUACUAAGUGGGAGUGUGAUAGGGGUACAGGGAAUUUCCGGUGGAGCGGUGAAAUGCAUGAAGAUUGGAAACAACACCAACAGCAAAGGCACAAUGCUAGGCUGACUAAC